ACCAUGUGUGCCGGUUCGUGACACUGACAAUUGUGGCUUCCAGCUGCAACGAUAAGCCGUUGUGCAUUAACAGAGCCACACCGGCCAUCCUCUGCCUGCUUCCACCUUCAAAAACACCUGCAUUGCGUUUGGGCUUUUGCUGCGAAAUUCCUAUCGUAGGAUGGAACGAUUAGUUUCACCUAGAGUGUCCCCCAGGACUACUCCUCUUUUCCACAGGCCAAGCUUCUCAAUCAGACGCCCGAUGAACCUCCAUAUGCUCAAUCGUUUCUCUGUUCGAGUUCAACAGCCAGACAACAAGGUAGGUUCGGCUACGGUGUUGGCCGUGAGGGAGGAGGAGGCAAAUGCCCUCCAAGUGAAGGAGUGGGAAGUAGGUAUGCUCCAAAACGAAUUGGCUGCUAGCCAGGGGAUUAGAAUUAGGAGGAGGCCGCCGACGGGGCCGCCUUUGCACUACGUCGGACCCUUUGAGUUUCAUGUACAAAACGAGGGCGGUAACCCCAGGAACAUCCUGGAGGAAAUCAUAUGGCAUAAGG
rnacentral:misc_RNA from 1 species